rnacentral:lncRNA from 1 species
CCUUCCCACACCAGGAGCUGCCCCGGGCUCUGCCGGCAGCUGCAGCCACCGCAGGGUGCGCUGGCCUCGAGGCCACCUAUUCCAACGUGGGGCUGGCGGCCCUUCCCGGGGUCAGCCUGGCGGCCAGCCCUGUGGUGGCCGAGUAUGCCCGCGUCCAGAAGCGCAAAGGGACCCAUCGCAGUCCCCAAGAGCCACAGCAGGGGAAGACUGAGGUGACCCCGGCCGCUCAGGGCUCUUCCGUGGGCGGCGGCU